CGCGUAGGCGGUUAUUUAAGUCGGAUGUGAAAGCCCUGGGCUUAACCUGGGAACUGCAUUCGAUACUGGACGACUAGAGUACGAGAGAGGGAGGUAGAAUUCCACGUGUAGCGGUGAAAUGCGUAGAUAUGUGGAGGAAUACCAGUGGCGAAGGCGGCCCCCUGGCUCGAUACUGACGCUGAGGUGCGAAAGCUAGGGGAGCAAACG
rnacentral:rRNA from 1 species